UUUCCGCUUUGCAACCGAAGGCAAAGCAGAGUCUUUGAGAAACACCCGGAAGUUGUCGUCUUCACACCACAUGACUGAAGAUUUGGGACCGGAAAACAAAUGGAAAAGGGAGACUGCUUUCCUUUGCACAGCCGACUUCAACAAUAACCUGCCGCCGAAUCCAAUCAGAUGGAAACUAAUGGACUUUCCAACGCAUCGCACCUGCCUCGCUCUACCCGGAGCUGAAGCGUUGCACGAUGAGUUAAGUCAACGAAACACACUCAGUGCUGAUCUCGGAGAGUCCGUUGAUCCGGUCCUGCUCAAGAAGCUACAAGUCUGUUCUGGUCGUGCAUCUCUUCUAUCCCAGGACGCC
rnacentral:lncRNA from 1 species